rnacentral:rRNA from 1 species
GGUUAAGCGACUAAGCGUACACGGUGGAUGCCCUGGCAGUCAGAGGCGAUGAAGGACGUGCUAAUCUGCGAUAAGCGUCGGUGAGGUGAUAUGAACCGUUAUAACCGGCGAUUUCCGAAUGGGGAAACCCAGUGUGUUUCGACACACUAUCAUUAACUGAAUCCAUAGGUUAAUGAGGCGAACCGGGGGAACUGAAACAUCUAAGUACCCCGAGGAAAAGAAAUCAACCGAGAUUCCCCCAGUAGCGGCGAGCGAACGGGGAGGAGCCCAGAGCCUGAAUCAGUGUGUGUGUUAGUGGAAGCGUCUGGAAAGGCGCGCGAUACAGGGUGACAGCCCCGUACACAAAAAUACACAUAUUGUGAGCUCGAUGAGUAGGGCGGGACACGUGGUAUCCUGUCUGAAUAUGGGGGGACCAUCCUCCAAGGCUAAAUACUCCUGACUGACCGAUAGUGAACCAGUACCGUGAGGGAAAGGCGAAAAGAACCCCGGCGAGGGGAGUGAAAAAGAACCUGAAACCGUGUACGUACAAGCAGUGGGAGCCUUUUUAUGGGGUGACUGCGUACCUUUUGUAUAAUGGGUCAGCGACUUAUAUUCUGUAGCAAGGUUAACCGAAUAGGGGAGCCGAAGGGAAACCGAGUCUUAACUGGGCGUUAAGUUGCAGGGUAUAGACCCGAAACCCGGUGAUCUAGCCAUGGGCAGGUUGAAGGUUGGGUAACACUAACUGGAGGACCGAACCGACUAAUGUUGAAAAAUUAGCGGAUGACUUGUGGCUGGGGGUGAAAGGCCAAUCAAACCGGGAGAUAGCUGGUUCUCCCCGAAAGCUAUUUAGGUAGCGCCUCGUGAAUUCAUCUCCGGGGGUAGAGCACUGUUUCGGCAAGGGGGUCAUCCCGACUUACCAACCCGAUGCAAACUGCGAAUACCGGAGAAUGUUAUCACGGGAGACACACGGCGGGUGCUAACGUCCGUCGUGAAGAGGGAAACAACCCAGACCGCCAGCUAAGGUCCCAAAGUCAUGGUUAAGUGGGAAACGAUGUGGGAAGGCCCAGACAGCCAGGAUGUUGGCUUAGAAGCAGCCAUCAUUUAAAGAAAGCGUAAUAGCUCACUGGUCGAGUCGGCCUGCGCGGAAGAUGUAACGGGGCUAAACCAUGCACCGAAGCUGCGGCAGCGACACUAUGUGUUGUUGGGUAGGGGAGCGUUCUGUAAGCCUGUGAAGGUGGCCUGUGAGGGUUGCUGGAGGUAUCAGAAGUGCGAAUGCUGACAUAAGUAACGAUAAAGCGGGUGAAAAGCCCGCUCGCCGGAAGACCAAGGGUUCCUGUCCAACGUUAAUCGGGGCAGGGUGAGUCGACCCCUAAGGCGAGGCCGAAAGGCGUAGUCGAUGGGAAACAGGUUAAUAUUCCUGUACUUGGUGUUACUGCGAAGGGGGGACGGAGAAGGCUAUGUUGGCCGGGCGACGGUUGUCCCGGUUUAAGCGUGUAGGCUGGUUUUCCAGGCAAAUCCGGAAAACCAAGGCUGAGGCGUGAUGACGAGGCACUACGGUGCUGAAGCGACAAAUGCCCUGCUUCCAGGAAAAGCCUCUAAGCAUCAGGUAACAUCAAAUCGUACCCCAAACCGACACAGGUGGUCAGGUAGAGAAUACCAAGGCGCUUGAGAGAACUCGGGUGAAGGAACUAGGCAAAAUGGUGCCGUAACUUCGGGAGAAGGCACGCUGAUAUGUAGGUGAAGCGACUUGCUCGUGGAGCUGAAAUCAGUCGAAGAUACCAGCUGGCUGCAACUGUUUAUUAAAAACACAGCACUGUGCAAACACGAAAGUGGACGUAUACGGUGUGACGCCUGCCCGGUGCCGGAAGGUUAAUUGAUGGGGUUAGCGGUAACGCGAAGCUCUUGAUCGAAGCCCCGGUAAACGGCGGCCGUAACUAUAACGGUCCUAAGGUAGCGAAAUUCCUUGUCGGGUAAGUUCCGACCUGCACGAAUGGCGUAAUGAUGGCCAGGCUGUCUCCACCCGAGACUCAGUGAAAUUGAACUCGCUGUGAAGAUGCAGUGUACCCGCGGCAAGACGGAAAGACCCCGUGAACCUUUACUAUAGCUUGACACUGAACAUUGAGCCUUGAUGUGUAGGAUAGGUGGGAGGCUUUGAAGUGUGGACGCCAGUCUGCAUGGAGCCGACCUUGAAAUACCACCCUUUAAUGUUUGAUGUUCUAACGUUGGCCCGUAAUCCGGGUUGCGGACAGUGUCUGGUGGGUAGUUUGACUGGGGCGGUCUCCUCCUAAAGAGUAACGGAGGAGCACGAAGGUUGGCUAAUCCUGGUCGGACAUCAGGAGGUUAGUGCAAUGGCAUAAGCCAGCUUGACUGCGAGCGUGACGGCGCGAGCAGGUGCGAAAGCAGGUCAUAGUGAUCCGGUGGUUCUGAAUGGAAGGGCCAUCGCUCAACGGAUAAAAGGUACUCCGGGGAUAACAGGCUGAUACCGCCCAAGAGUUCAUAUCGACGGCGGUGUUUGGCACCUCGAUGUCGGCUCAUCACAUCCUGGGGCUGAAGUAGGUCCCAAGGGUAUGGCUGUUCGCCAUUUAAAGUGGUACGCGAGCUGGGUUUAGAACGUCGUGAGACAGUUCGGUCCCUAUCUGCCGUGGGCGCUGGAGAACUGAGGGGGGCUGCUCCUAGUACGAGAGGACCGGAGUGGACGCAUCACUGGUGUUCGGGUUGUCAUGCCAAUGGCACUGCCCGGUAGCUAAAUGCGGAAGAGAUAAGUGCUGAAAGCAUCUAAGCACGAAACUUGCCCCGAGAUGAGUUCUCCCUGAGACUUAGAGUCUCCUGAAGGAACGUUGAAGACGACGACGUUGAUAGGCCGGGUGUGUAAGCGCAGCGAUGCGUUGAGCUAACCGGUACUAAUGAACCGUGAGGCUUAACCUU